rnacentral:sRNA from 1 species
CAGCGAGAAAGCGUUGCCGCUGGCGGCGACCCGAAGGGCGAAGCGCGCAGCGCUGAGUCAUCCUUCCCCCACCACCA